UAGUAACGGCGAGUGAAGAGGGAAAAGCUCAAAUUUUGAAUCUGGUGUCUUUGACUCCCGAGUUGUAAUCUAGAGAAGUGUUUUCCGCGUUGGACCGUGUACAAGUUCCCUGGAACGGGGCGUCAUAGAGGGUGAGAAUCCCGUAUAUGCCACGGACUACCAAUGCUCUGUGAUACACUCUCAACGAGUCGAGUUGUUUGGGAAUGCAGCUCAAAAUGGGUGGUAAAUUCCAUCUAAAGCUAAAUAUUGGCGAGAGACCGAUAGCGAACAAGUACCGUGAGGGAAAGAUGAAAAGCACUUUGGAAAGAGAGUGAAACAGUACGUGAAAUUGUUGAAAGGGAAGCGUUUGAAGUCAGUCACGUCUGUCGGAAUUCAGCCUGGCUUCUGCCUGGUGUACUUUCCGUCUGACGGGUCAGCAUCAAUUUCGACCGAGGGAAAAAGACGUGAGGAAUGUGGCUGUCUUCGGGCAGUGUUAUAGACUCGCGUUGUAUGUCUCGGUUGGGAUUGAGGAACGCAGCGCGCCUAUUGGCCGGGGGUUCGCGCCCCUCGGUACGCGCUUAGGA
rnacentral:rRNA from 1 species